rnacentral:lncRNA from 1 species
UUCAUGCGAAGUUCCAGAAGCCUGUGCUGAGUUAGUUGUCAAUGAUUUCUCUCGUUGUGCUAUAUGAUAUCUGAUUUGCGUUUACCUUGAUCAUUGUUUAGUCACACUGAAGCUUAGAAAAGAGAGACAGGUAGUAAACAAACAAGUAAAGAUUGUUGUUUCUGCAUUGCUUCCUAAAUUUUGAUGUGAUCUAAAAUGUUUAUUAUUGGAAAAGAUAGGGGCAUCAGACACCUGUGUGGCUGCAAAUUGACUGGACUGGCUACAUAGGUCAUAAUACUGACCGGAUAUCUUUUAAAUACUUUACUAAAUGCUCCUCCGUUUUAUUAACGAGACCGUUUCUUUUUUAAGACCAAUUUCUUCUGAUUUAGCAAGGAUUAACCUCCAAGAAGAUUGGUUAAGCUGAUUAAGCAGAUUCAUGAAAUCACAAUCACUGCUAUAAAAGGACCUAAUGAGUAAGAAUCCUCUCCAUUUCUCAAAAGUCCCUUCAAACUUCUGGAUGUCUUUAUCUUUUCAAAUGGACUAAAUGGAGAGGAUCUUAAUUCCUAUAAAAGAUAAUUUUAUUCUCGUCUCUGAUGGACGAGUAAGGAUCCAUGUCAUUUACUAAAAAUAAAUGGAGAAUCUCAUUUAGUGAGAGAUAGAUACAAAAAAGUAUAUAAUGGGUCCUAUCACUAAGGGAGUCAUACCACUGUUAAUUAUUUAUAUAUUUUUUUAAACUUCAUUGUGUUUUUGUCUCUCCAAAUGAAAGAAAAAGAGAAGUUACUAAAUGGAGAAGAUAUUAACCGCUGAUGGACCAUUCACCAUGUCACAUCAUUAAUCAAUGAAAUUUUGUUUUUAUCCCUAUAACCUGUUUUCCAGUCAACAAAACUGCAAGUAUUGUUUUCUUUAAAUCUUGUGGAAUAGAAACAGAAAAGCAUGCUUACCACCACAAUCCUUGAGGGAUCAUGCCUUGAAGAAUUUGCUGGGAGAAAGCAAUCACUUUAGUAGGAGUCAAAACCAUCAACAAAUUGUUAAGCAUUUUCUCUUGAAAAAAGAGUUCCAAUUGGAAACAAAUUCUAAGAAAUUAAGUUAUCAUAAGUUGACUGAACCACAUAAGAACCAGAUUAUGGAAGCUCCAGCUCCACUGAUCUUUAUAUCUGAAACUAAGCACAACUAUAAACUACACUGCACACAAUUAUAAGAGCUCACCAAGGCAUCCAAAAUGGUGGAUUCUUAAAAUGUGUUGCAAACUUGCAU